UCGGAUUGUAGUCUGCAACCCGACUACAUGAAGCUGGAAUCGCUAGUAAUCGCAGGUCAGCAUACUGCGGUGAAUACGUUCCCGGGUCUUGUACACACCGCCCGUCACACCAUGGGAGCCGGAAAUGCCCGAAGCCAGUGACCCCAACCUUAGGGAGGGAGCUGUCGAAGGUGGAGCCGGUAACUGGGGGUGAAGUCGUAACAAGGUAUC
rnacentral:rRNA from 1 species